GAGUGACGAGCGGGGCGCGCCUGGGUGGCUGCCGGGGUCGCUCCUCUGGCCUCGAGCGCCCCCUCCCUCCGCCCCCCGGCGCCUCCUGGCACCGAACCCGCCGCGCCGCCGCGUUCUUAAAAGCGCCGCCUGCUUUGCUGGCCUUUGGCCGCGCGGCAGGGAAGGUCCCGCCGGGGUGGGGUCGGUGGCGCGGGGACAGCGACACUGCCGGGCGCCGGCAUACCCCCUACCCCCUCCUCCGCCCCUCCGGGCACUUGCCGCCGCCCUGCAGGCCUGGGUCUUGUCGCACUUGUUCUGUCGUGCUGGGGUACACGGAGCCAAGACCAGAGCCGGCGCAUGUGCUUGUCAGAGAGGAAUCCAGGGAGCCCUGUGGGGGCUGCUUGGGGAAAUGAGGCUGUCAUCCCCGCGCCCCAGGUGCUCAACGGGGAGGAUAAAGGAGCCCUGACCUGCGGGAGGCAGCCCCAGGGGACGGACGGAGCCCUGGUUCAGAGCCCAGAGAGAGCAUUGGAGGGCCAGGCCUCAGCCAACUCCAUUUCUCCCCUCUCUGGCCUGCGUGGGCAUCGGGGGCAUGGUGGGUACCAGAUCCUACCCUGCCUGCUCAACCCUCUAGACAGCCUGGGACACAGAGGGCAUGGUGGCCACGCCCAUUUUACAGAUGAGCAGAAGGAGACUGUGAGAGCAAAUAACGUGCCCUUGUUCACACUGAGGGCCUGGGUGCGUAGGCUCUGGAUUCUUCUGGAAAACUAGUACUAGGGUUGGCUGACUUUUGGGCCUGGGACAACCCUAAGACUCCUGGCUGGGGCAGGCAUGAUGCGUCCCGACUUCUGCCUUGUAGACCAGGAGCAGAACAAAAUGGGCCUCAUGACCAGCCAUUGGGCGUCUUGGCCACAGCACGCACGGAAAGAUGUGUCAGGGUCCAGCUCUUCCUGGGAAGCCCCUCCGAAUGCUCCUGGCCAGCCUGUUUCUCUGGGAUGAGGCCCCAGCAAGGCAGAUCGCAGCCUGCAGCCGGGAGGAACUGCUAAUAUAUGGCAAGAGUCUGGAAACCAGAUUCCAAAAGGUCACCUUGGACUGGAACCAACAAGAUUACGUUGAACAGGCUGGAUGUGAACCUCCACUUUCAGGUUCAAAAAUCAGUUGUAAAAAUGCAGGCAGCUUCCCACUGAAGACUUGCUGGGCCAAGCUGCAGCUGUCUGCACCACUCAGGCAGUUCAUCCACCCCCUGUCUCCCCAGCACAGGCCCUCUUGUGAAUUUCCCUGAGCCCCAGCAGCUGAGCCUGCGCCCUGGGGUGGGAGUGGGGGAUCCCGGGAUGUCUGACCUGCUGUCUCUGAUGUCAGGCCAGCUGGGGGAGGGGAUGCAGCUGGAGACAGCAGAGAAUGGGGUCCUUGUGCCACUGUCAUCAGGCCCGGAGCUUCCAUGAACACGGCUUUGUCUGCACCCAUACCCCGUGGUGACCACGGGACCAGGGGAUCAGUGGGCCUCUGAACAAGAGGGGCGUGCAGAGCGGCUUUUUGGCCUCAGUUAACUCUUAAAUGGGUGUCAGAGGCACUGUCUUCCCCUAGCUAUGCACCUCGUGCCUGGGAGCCUUAGGGCCACACGGAAGGGUAGAAAUCAGUUUCAGGUCAGGAGGUCUGGAACAGCUUUAUUAAACCCAGUUUUUUUCCUAUGAAAAUGGCUGCAGACACUGGGGGAGGGAGAGGGUGGCCUUGAUCCCGAUGACUCUGAAACAUGCUUGGCCUUCCCCAGAGAUUCCUGCUCCCAGCCCAGGCCCAGACGGCAACAGAAGCUCAUGGGCUUGACGGGGAAACAGAAACCAGCCUUGAACGCCUUCCCACGCCCCAAAACGCCAGGGUGCACAGUGAGGGGAGCCCUGGCCAGAUGGCACAGAUGGCAUUCCUGCCCGCGAGAGGCCCAGGACCCCGGGGAGCCAGAGGGGCAGGGUGCCCGCAGCGUCCAGGCAAAUGGGCCCAGGCCCCCCGAC
rnacentral:lncRNA from 1 species